CCUCGACCAAAUAACACCCCCAAACUCACCCUCAAGCUCCCCACAAGUAUUUCCAAUAAUAUUAUCAUCCCGGGCACGAAAUCAAGAAGUAAUAACGCAAGAACGAUCCCCACGACGGGAGAUGCUGCUCGAAUUUAUAUAAACGAGCUACAAGUUUAUGUUGCAGAUUUAGCCUUUAUUCAACACUGAUUUUGAAUCUCCUUAUGCAAUGGUAGAUUGAGUUGAUUUGUUUUAAGAGUAGCUUGGGAGGUAUUAAAGACUCACUAUGGUUAAGGUUCCGAUUGAUAGGUUGACAGUCUUCCUAGUAGGCUAUCAG